GGUGCCGUAUGGCUCAACUGGUUAGACUUUUGUCUUUCAAUCUGAGGGUCCCGGGUUCGAUUCCCCACUGUGCCA